CAAGAAGUAGUUUAAUAAGAAUAUCAGCUUUGGGUGCUGAUGGUGGGGAGAUUUCUCCUUCUUCUUGA
rnacentral:tRNA from 1 species